ACAGGGAUUGCCCUAGUAACGGCGAGUGAAGCGGCAACAGCUCAAAUUUGAAAUCUGGCUCUUUUAGAGUCCGAGUUGUAAUUUGCAGAGGGCGCUUUGGCGUUGGCAGCGGUCCAAGUUCUUUGGAACAGGACGUCACAGAGGGUGAGAAUCCCGUACGUGGUCGCUAGCCUUCGCCGUGUAAAGCCCCUUCGACGAGUCGAGUUGUUUGGGAAUGCAGCUCUAAAUGGGAGGUAAAUUUCUUCUAAAGCUAAAUACUGGCCAGAGACCGAUAGCGCACAAGUAGAGUGAUCGAAAGAUGAAAAGCACUUUGGAAAGAGAGUCAAAUAGCACGUGAAAUUGUUGAAAGGGAAGCGCUUGCAGCCAGACUUGCCUGUAGUUGCUUAUCCGGACUUUUGUCCGGUGCACUCUUCUGCGGGCAGGCCAGCAUCAGUUUGGGCGGUUGGAUAAAGGUCUCUGUCAUGUACCUCCUUUCGGGGAGGCCUUAUAGGGGAGACGACAUGCAACCAGCCUGGACUGAGGUCCGCGCAUUUGCUAGGAUGCUGGCGUAAUGGCUGUAAGCGGCCCGUCUUGAAACACGGACCAAGGAGUCUAACAUCUAUGCGAGUGUUUGGGUGUCAAGCCCAGACGCGUAAUGAAAGUGAACGGAGGUGGGAACCUUUUAGGUGCACCAUCGACCGAUCCUGAUGUCUUCGGAAGGAUUUGAGUAAGAGCAUGGCUGUUGGGACCCGAAAGAUGGUGAACUAUGCUUGAAUAGGGUGAAGCCAGAGGAAACUCUGGUGGAGGCUCGCAGCGGUUCUGACGUGCAAAUCGAUCGUCAAAUUUGGGCAUAGGGGCGAAAGACUAAUCGAACUAUC
rnacentral:rRNA from 1 species